ACGGCUCAGUAACACGUGGACAACCUACCCUCAGGAGGGGGAUAACCCCGGGAAACUGGGGAUAAUACCCCAUAGACCAGGGACGCUGGAAUGCCUCCUGGUCCAAAGGUCCGCCGCCUGAGGAUGGGUCUGCGGUCGAUUAGGUUGUUGUUGGGGUAACGGCCCAACAAGCCUUUGAUCGGUACGGGUUGUGAGAGCAAGAGCCCGGAGAUGGAUUCUGAGACACGAAUCCAGGCCCUACGGGGCGCAGCAGGCGCGAAAACUUUACAAUGCGAGAAAUCGUGAUAAGGGAACCCCGAGUGCCCGUAAAUUCGGGCUGUCCGCCAGUGCAAAUAGCUGGUGAAGAAAGGGCCGGGCAAGACCGGUGCCAGCCGCCGCGGUAAUACCGGCGGCUCGAGUGGUGGCCACUAUUACUGGGCUUAAAGCGUCCGUAGCUUGAUUGUUAAGUCUCUUGGGAAAUCCACCGGCUCAACCGAUGGGCGUUCAGGAGAAACUGGCAAUCUAGGGACCGGGAGAGGUGAGAGGUACUCCAGGGGUAGGAGUGAAAUCCUGUAAUCCUUGGGGGACCACCUGUGGCGAAGGCGUCUCACUAGAACGGCUCCGACAGUGAGGGACGAAAGCUGGGGGAGCAAACCGGAUUAGAUACCCGGGUAGUCCCAGCUGUAAACGAUGCGCGUUAGGUGUAUCGGUGACCACGAGUCAUCGAGGUGCCGAAGGGAAACCGUGAAACGUGCCGCCUGGGAAGUACGGUCGCAAGGCUGAAACUUAAAGGAAUUGGCGGGGGAGCAC
rnacentral:rRNA from 1 species